UGGGCUAUUUCACCUUCCAUAACUGGAAAAUCUCUCUCGCCUGAGCAAACGAAGUAUCUUCACUCUUAACUUCUUCCAUGGCGUCCGUUCCUGCAUAUCGUGAAGCCGGAGGGUCAAGAACCGGCGGGAAAAUUGUUCGAGCUAGGCGAGCUUGGAGUAGGAAGACUCCUUAUGAACGUCCUGGACUUUCGAAUUUGGGCCCUGGAGGAAACCCUAGUUGGAUCUCCAGGUUCAUUUUCUCGCCUACUCUCACCAUUGCUUCCGGCGCUGGAAAGUUUCUCUCUUCUGUCUUCAUUACCGAGUCGUCGUCGUCCUCCUCCGACAGUGAUUCAGAGGAUGAUGUCGAAGAUGAUGUUCAUGAUGACAAUCGUGUCUUCCAGGGAAAUGGAGUGAAGAAGAGUGGGACAUCAGAGAUGGUCAAUUCAUUUAGGAAGGACUUUCCUCCAGAGAAGAAAGAUAGCAAGCAUCUAAUUGAACAGCUACUGAUGCAGGAAACCUUCUCUAGGGCAGAGCGUGACAAGUUAUUUCAGAUAAUUGAAUCAAGGGUUGUGGAAUGUCAAAGCAUUGAAGGAGAGGCUGCAGGGCGGCUGACUGAGCUUUCAAACAAAGCAGUUGAUAGUGAUGAUGGCGGGUCUGCAGUCUGCAGCACAGCAAUUCUUGAGGCGAAAACAUGGUUGAAUGAAAAACGAUUGGGAUUGGGGUCUAGUUCGACAUUGGAAUUGGAUCAUGGGCCAUGCACCUUGAAUUCCACGAUGUUGCCACUGGUUAAUGAUGAAGAGACGGGUUCACUUGUAGAUGUAGCCAAAUCAUACAUGCGAGAACGCCCUAUAUGGGCCUCUCCUUCCGUGAAUAAUUUUGAGUUUAAGUCUCCUUCACCAUCAAGGUUACAGCUCUUCAAAGAAGAAACAUCAUUUUCAGUUAGUGGAAACCCACUGUCUUCAUCUAAGAUCAAAAGGGAAUCUCCUGCCAGUGGAUCAUGGAACAUCCAGGAGGAAAUACGACGUGUGCGAUCAAAAGCAACCGAGGAAAUGCUAAGAUCCCGCUCAUCUGCCAAGCUUGAUUGGUCUUUAUUUGCUUCAGACUACAAAGGUAAUUUGAGUUCUGCACGUUCAGACUAUCCGAAAAUUCACAGUCAAGAAAAAAUGCAACAUGCUGUACAGUCAAUAGAUAAAUCAAUGAAUCGGUUUGCAGACAUUUCUGUUACUCAUAACUUAUCAGAGUCAAAGAUCACACAAGAUGUGCCAGAAAAUGGGGCUUGCUUACUUGGCUCAGGCAGCAUUUUUCAACAACAGGAUAAGGAUUUUGAAACCAAUCCUACCAAUGAGAGGAAAGCAUCAAAUUCAAGUUUAGAUGAGAGAGGAUGCUCUACAGUCCAUGAAGUUGCAGGGCUGGCCAACGGUCUUCCGUCGUUACCUAGUUCCACUGGGGAGCUUGCUGUAGAAGAGAACCAUGUCGACAAGAUAGUUGAAGAAAGCAAUUCAUCAGGUCACGACCAUGAGGCAAAAGGGCUUCCUGUUAAGGAGCGAUGCGAACUAAGUGAAGUGUCCAUGGAGGUCCCAAACACGAACGACGCUGAUGCCACUGCCAAUAAAGUUCCAUCAGAUGGAAACCAAGUUGGUAAAGAUGUAUCAGAAGGAAACCAUAAUGGUAGCAAGGAAAAAAACGAUGCUGGUUAUAACGUUAAUACGGUAGAGAAGCCAAUUACAGAAAGCAACGUAGCAGCGGGGAAGACGAGUAGAAUGGCAUAUCUGCGACGUGGAAGACGAAGAAACUGAGGGGGGGAAAACAGGAAGGUAGUUUGUGUUGGAACCUAAUAUUGGACAUAAAAACCUUUGACUAUAGCUAAAACAAGGCUCUUGUAUCAUGAGUAGUUUGAUUAGGUGUACGGAUUUGUAUAGAGCUAGAUCAUAGAUUCAGCUUGAAUAAGCGACACUGUGGAAGCUUUGUGUAUUUAAGUUGUGGAAAAUUAUGGUUCGUUAGAAUUUCAUUUUAAAACCGGUAAUGCAUUAACGUUCACAUGUACGUAAAACUUAUUUAGAUACAAAUGAUGAACGCAAAUUAGAGAGAAA